UACGUAGGUGGCAAGCGUUGUCCAGAAUUAUUGGGCGUAAAGCGCGCGCAGGCGGUCCUUUAAGUCUGAUGUGAAAGCCCACGGCUCAACCGUGGAGGGUCAUUGGAAACUGGGGGACUUGAGUGCAGAAGAGGAAAGUGGAAUUCCACGUGUAGCGGUGAAAUGCGUAGAGAUGUGGAGGAACACCAGUGGCGGAAGGCGACUUUCUGGUCUGUAACUGACGCUGAGGCGCGAAAGCGUGGGGAGCAAACAGG
rnacentral:rRNA from 1 species